UUGGACUCAAACUCAGACUUUGACUCAGGCUUAGACUUACUAAAGACAGACUCAGGAUUCGUAUUCACGAACGCAUUUGGAAAUAGACUUCAAUAAGAUUGUGUUUUUUUAAUGACGUCACGACUAAGCGAACUCUCUAGUAGGGAAAACGCGCCAAAUAGUGUCAAAAAUAGUAGCGGACAUGUUUGCUAUAACUUAUUGAAUGGAGUGUUUGGCAGUUGAAGACAGCGAAACGAAGCGCCAGCAGGUCCAGAUUGGUCCGAGCCAGAGAUUGUUUUUAAUGCGCUGGUUCGGGACCGCUGGAACCUUCUAUCCGCGAGUAUAAGGGGAUCGGAGCCGAAAAGAUUUUGGUUAUUCGAAGAAAAAAAUGGGACGAGGUGGCGAGUAGAAUAUCAAUAAAAUUUGGGGUCGCAAAAACUGGUGAACAGUGCCAGAAGAAGAACCAAAAUUCCAAGGCUCGGUCUUCUUCAUAUGCGUUACAAAGCAGUGAGCGUGCCACAACAGCCAGCAGUGAAGAACAUAUGAGUGUACCAGUCAUGAAAGUAGAGGCAUUAAGUGUAAAGAAUCGCUCACAAAGAAGAACGACAAGAGAUCACAAGCCGAUACCUUAACAAAACUUACAGAGAAACCGAUGGGAAAUAACUAAGAAAAAUUAGAAUAAGAAAUAAAAAAGUUGACUGUAGAAAUUGAAAUAAUACAUUUGGAGAAAAAGAUGUGUUUAGUGUCAAUACGUGACCAAGUGCUAUAACUCUGACAUGUAAUAUACUAGUAGUAGAUUUAUUCGCCUUUUUGUAAUUAAAAGGAUCUUAUUAUUUUUUGUGCAACUACUUCAUAACUCUAUUAUUUCUAAAAUAGAUAGUCUAUAUUAGAAAUAAUAGUUAUGGGGCAGUUGCACACAAAAUAAUAAGAUUUUUUUUUUAUUCAAAAAGGGGCAUACUAUUAUUUCUAUGAUAAAAAUAUGAUUCUAUCCCUUUUUGUACUUAUAAAAUUCCAGUCAAUAUUUGUGUGCUUUAAGAAAUGUAGGUUAAAUAUUACAUUGGUCAUUGUAUUAUGUUACUGACAUAUAAAAUACAUUCUACAUUCAAAGAGGAAUAUUAGUUGAAUGCGGUGUCUUGGGACACUUCUUGAUAUUAUUUGCUUACAAGAUAUCCAUCAUUGAUAAUAAUAAAAUUCUUCAUUCAAUUAACUGAAUGAAAUUCCAGAAUAAUGGUAGAUACAGUUAUGUGAAUUUGAAAUUAGACAUCAACAAAUCCUGGCAUCAUGCUUUCGCCCUGGCCAACUGGCAGUGAACUUGAGUGAAGCUCGUUAUUCUGUAGCUGGCAUCAUACACAGCCUGUUAACAUAAAACAUGUUAUAUUACACUAACAAAAUAAGACAUAUUUUUGUAUUUUUUUUCUUAGGUAUUUGAUAAAAUGCUGAUAAAAUGUUUCUUAUUUUGCUAAUGGCAAACUGUUAAAAUUAACAUACAGUUGUUUCAUUAAAUAUUUGUGUUUAAAAUAAAGUUGUAUCAAAUAAAAAGGAUUGCAUUUAGACUUGCACAUAACUGACUGUUAAGCCAUACCUGAACGUUGAUGGUGGGAACGCCCUUUCGCCAUAUGUAGCCUUCUACAUGGUUUACUGGCUUCUUGAUAUGCACAUGCGUCCAAUCGAUGCACCCCAAAGUACUUGUAAAACCUGAAAGUUGAUCAUUUAAAAUUGACCCAUUUUUUGUAAAAAUUACAAUAUUAAUAAGUAAAUAGAUAUUGAUAUAAAUGGAUUAUGAUCGGUGCAUUUAUGUGCAUUAUAUUGAAUGAAAGUUCUGCCUUAUGUCAGAAGUGAUGCAAUAUGCUGAUGUGUCUUAACUUGAUAAUCAAAUUUAAUGUCAUCGUUUUACUAUUGAUUGAAAAUGCAAUAAUAUGUGCAUUUGAGAAUAAAAUAUUAUUCCUGUU